rnacentral:rRNA from 1 species
UACAGAGGUGGCAAGCGUUGUUCGGAAUUACUGGGCGUAAAGGGCGCGUAGGCGGCCUACUAAGUCAGACGUGAAAUCCCCCGGCUUAACCUGGGAACUGCGUCUGAUACUGGAAGGCUCGAGUUUGGGAGAGGGAUGUGGAAUUCCAGGUGUAGCGGUGAAAUGCGUAGAUAUCUGGAGGAACACCGGUGGCGAAGGCGGCAUCCUGGACCAACACUGACGCUGAGGCGCGAAAGCUAGGGGAGCAAACGGG